CAGCAGUCGCCACGGGAAUACAGAGGGUGCGAGCGUUAAUCGGAUUUACUGGGCGUAAAGCGUGCGUAGGCGGCUUUUUAAGUCGGAUGUGAAAUCCCUGAGCUUAACUUAGGAAUUGCAUUCGAUACUGGGAAGCUAGAGUAUGGGAGAGGAUGGUAGAAUUCCAGGUGUAGCGGUGAAAUGCGUAGAUAUCGGAAGGAACACCAGUGGCGAAGGCGGCUACCUGGACUGACACUGACACUGAGGCGCGAAAGCGUGGGGAGCAAACAGGAUUAGAUACCCCUGUAGUCCCUGUCUCUUAUAC
rnacentral:rRNA from 1 species